ensembl:misc_RNA Metazoa_SRP Metazoan signal recognition particle RNA
GCUGGGCGCGGUGGCUCACGCCUGUAAUCCCGGCACUUUGGGAGGCUGAGGUGGGCGGAUUACCUGAGGUCAGGAGUUCGAGACCAGCCUGGCCAACAUGGUGAAACCCCAUCUCUA